GAGCGGGGGCGGGGAGGCGCCGUCUGGCUCAGGCUGGGGCCAGCGGGAGCGCGAACGAGCGACGGCGGUACCCGUGGGCCUGUGGACUGCAGCCUCGGCGGUCACCAGCAAUGAGGUCUUACUGUGUAGCCCAGGCUGGUCUGGAACUCCUGGACUCAAGUGAUCUUCCUACCUUGGUCUUCCAAAGUGUUGGGAUUACAGAUGGAGUUUCGCUCUUGUUGCCCAGGCUGGAGUGUAGUAGCAUGAUCUCGGCUCACUGCAACCUCCGCCUCCUGAGUUCAAGCGAUUCUCCUGCCUCAGCCUCCCGAGUAUCUGGGAUUACAGGAAGUUUAUCUCGACAAUGCUAGUUGCAGUCUGUGUGACCCUGACCAAGUUAUUUUAAUGUCUGUGCUGCAGUUUUUCAGUUUCCAAGAUGGAAUAGUUAUAGUGCAUAUCUUCCUCAUGGUUGUGAGGAGUGCAUGACACAUAGCGAGUGCUCAGUGAACGGUCAUUUUUCUGAGUGCUUGUGAUUUCACGUAUUUUUGCUGAACUCGUAAAAGAGACACUUGGAUGGUGGAUUAACCAGAACACUAACAUUCUUUGAAAAGUUUCAAAUUGGAGAAUAUUGAAUUUUCACCCUAGUCCAGCAGCUCCGCUGCUCACUUAAAUACAGAUGAAUGAAGACCCCAUUCGGAAAGACACCUGGCCAGCGGUCCAGAGCUGAUGCAGGCCAUGCUGGAGUAUCUGCCAACAUGAUGAAGAAGAGGACAUCCCACAAAAAACAUCGGAGCAGUGUGGGUCCGAGCAAACCUGUUUCCCAGCCCCGGCGGAACAUCGUAGGCUGCAGGAUUCAGCAUGGGUGGAAAGAGGGGAAUGGCCCUGUUACCCAGUGGAAAGGAACCGUUCUGGACCAGGUGCCUGUAAAUCCUUCUUUGUAUCUUAUAAAAUACGAUGGAUUUGACUGUGUUUAUGGACUAGAACUUAAUAAAGAUGAAAGAGUUUCUGCGCUUGAAGUCCUCCCUGAUAGAGUUGCAACAUCUCGAAUCAGCGAUGCACACUUGGCAGACACAAUGAUUGGCAAAGCAGUGGAACAUAUGUUUGAGACAGAGGAUGGUUCUAAAGAUGAGUGGAGGGGAAUGGUCUUAGCACGUGCACCUGUCAUGAACACAUGGUUUUACAUUACCUAUGAGAAAGACCCUGUCUUGUACAUGUACCAACUCUUAGAUGAUUACAAAGAAGGCGACCUUCGCAUUAUGCCUGAUUCCAAUGAUUCACCUCCAGCAGAAAGGGAACCAGGAGAAGUUGUGGACAGCCUGGUAGGCAAACAAGUGGAAUAUGCCAAAGAAGAUGGCUCGAAAAGGACUGGCAUGGUCAUUCAUCAAGUAGAAGCCAAGCCCUCCGUCUAUUUCAUCAAGUUUGAUGAUGAUUUCCAUAUUUAUGUCUACGAUUUGGUGAAAACAUCCUAGAUGUCAUCACAAACUCUGCCAAAUUUGUGGAACUAUGAAAUGUAUUAUUUGUAGACAUAAAGACUUGAUUGCUUUCCAGUUUAAUGAAAGCUUAAAUGUCCCUGCGAACCCACAAUCUCUGCCAGCAGAACUGGUUUUGUUCUGAAUAGUACAGAUUGAUGUGAACACAAAGCAUUUUGUGUAAGGAGAACCCCUUUCUUUUAAAAGAAGUCUGUCUAUUUCGAGGGGAGUUACAGGCAAGUUUGGUAAAAGUUAAGCUAGUAUCAUAGUCAUUUAAAAUUGUAAUAGAUCUUAACCAUUUUCCCCCUCACCCUAACUCUCUUAUUCUGCCGCCACAAUGCAAGCAUAGUUUGAUGUUUUCGUUAUUGCCUUUUUUGAGAUAUAUGUAUCUGUAUCUACCUAUAUCUAUAUGUGUGUAUACAUAUAUAAUAUAUACACACAGAUACAAGUGUACACACACACACCACACACCACACACACCCCACUGGCAGUCUUUGUGGAUUAGGAUGGGGGUGACAUAAUUUUCUUGAGUUUAACAGGAGUGCUUUACCCAAGUCAGUCAUGGUUAUGAUAUCACUGCUCUUUAUUUAAAAGUAAACUUUGGGCACAGGAACCAUAUGGGAACAUUCAGCUUGUU
rnacentral:sRNA from 1 species